UUUUCCAUACUCUAUUUCUAUAUAUCAAAAACAGAGUUUUAUGGUUUCAAAUCAUUCAAUAAAAUUGAUCUUUACAGAAGCAAUAUCUUCACUUUCUGUUUCUAUUAUGUUCAAAUACUUUCACUAUAUUAGUAAAAGCGCUAUAAAAUCAAAACGAUUUUGUUGUUUCUGUUAAUUUUUGUUUUUUUUUUCUAAUCAUAUUUAUUUUCCUCCAAUGACUUGUUCUAUCUAUUUUCCGGUGUUACUGUUGCCGGCCAACAGAUUCCCGGAAUCUCGUCUGAAACAACCGACGACUUUGUAAAAAAUUAAUUUCAUCGGGAUUUUGAUAUCGGAAAGUACCGACAAAGCUCCGACGAUUAUGUGAGGAUUGUGGUCCUCGGUUUAUAGGUCUUUUUCUUGUAGUGAUCCGACAGAUCUAGUCUCUGGAGAGACGAGAUAGCUCCGAGGGAAGGCACGACCCGACCCGAGAAGUUGUUUCCGGAGAGAGUGAGGUUGCGGAGGGAGGUGAGACCGGUUAGUGUGCUGAAUUUGAGUUCUCCUGAUAAACCGAGCCGGUCGAGAUUAAUGGCGAUGAUUGAACCGUUUUCGGGUCGCAGGAGAUACCGGGCCAGUUCUCGGGGCAAGUGGAGGGGUCGGUGAGGCUGCUCGUAGCGGAGCAUGAGAUAUGCGUUGGUUGGAGGCCUCGUCGCGGAUGCGUUUGCGGAACUCGAGUAGAUAUCGGAGCUCAUGCUCCGUCACAGUGUUGACGCCAUGAGGAGGAGGAUGAAGCAGAGAGGAAGAGUGUGGAGAGGACAACAAGGCACAGAAAUCGACGUCGCUUUCUGCUCCAUGGAUCCUGACGCCGGCAACUCUCUAGCUCGCCGGUGUCAACGUCGUCUCUAUAUUAGUUUCCUCUUGGCUUCUUUUGUUGAUUUCUUCCAAGUUUGGUUCUUGAACUUGGGUUUCUUUAGUUCUCUCUUUGUCCAUGGCUGUGCAAGCUGACGUCGGUGUCAUACUCAAGUCAGUUGGCUCUUGUUUCUCACUUGCAGUCCAUCUCCGUUCGUCACAGCUGCAAUAAUUUCAGAUCUGACUUUUCAUGGCUGUGUGUAUAAUGUUAUCUCUCGCUCUCCGACUAACGUACGGCUGUCAGAUCUGUGCCUCUCUUCGUCCCCUUGGGCGUUGACCUUUCUCCCUACGGGGAAUAUCUGUUCUUACUUGGCUUGUGGUGAACAAAGCUUCAUUAUUGGUGUUUCCCAAGAUUCUCUCGGCAGAUCUAUGUGCCUUGGUUGCUCUGAACUUUACUCCUCAACCUCCGCCGCGAAUCUACUCUUGUUGGAAGUCUCAAAGAUCCACCUCCUGCUACCGCCAUUACCGUUCACAACUACGAAUCCCGGUGUCUGCUCUCACUUUCAUACCAUGACAGAUUCAGUUGAUAAACGGCUUAAAUCUGGUUUCAUCAACGCUCUUUGGCUCUGAUACGGUAAUAUUGGCGCUGGGAGACUCUUCUUGGCCACAUGUUCUGUCUUUUCACCAAAUCUCGUCAAGCUGUUUUGUUGUUUCGCCGUUGUGAAGAUGGCUCAGUCUUCAUCGUCAUAUUUAUUUGUUCACCACCAUCGCAAGACACCGUAUCAAAUAGCAUUAGUUCAGAUGUCUCCAAUGCGACUGUUAGCUAUUUCACUCUCAAGAAAAUGUUCAGUAUCAUCUCCAAAUCCGAGUCUCUUAAAGCUUCAAACAAACAGUCCUUUAAAAUUAUCCUUUAUGGAUAAGUUUAAGCAAAUUUCCUCUCGACAGGGCCGAGAGAGAUCAUCAUCUACCUCCUCCUUUCAGG